GGCCACAUCCCGUUGAAACACUGGUUGCCGUACGAUCAUCGAAGUUAAGCAAUGUCGAGCCUGGUCAGUACCUAGAUGGGUAAAUGCUUAGGAAUGCCAGGUGCUGUAAG